rnacentral:lncRNA from 1 species
AGAGGCUGGGCCGCCCCCGCUGCUGGCACGGUAGUCACAUUGGCCACGGAGAUGGCUACGAAUAGGGAAUCCAAUAAAUUAGGCUGUAGAAAGAGGUGGUGAGGGGCCGAGGGGGCGGGGCCUGCAUUCUCGCUUGGCAGGCAGUGCUGUGCGUCCCUCUCCCCUCUCCCGUGGGAUCUUUGGGGCUCUUGUGGGGGAGAGGAUGCAGGUGAGGCGCUCUGUGUGACUGUGGGUCCCACUGGGCGGCUUUUAUGGCAUCCCACGGAACGGGAGCCUUGGCUGACCACCCUCAGGGGAUGGACCAUGGGGUCUUUGAGAGACUGACGAGGAG